GACGAACGCUGGCGGCGUGCUUAACACAUGCAAGUCGAACGGUGAAGCAGAGCUUGCGUUGUGGGCCCGUGGCGCAAGCGUGAGUAAAACAUGAGCAUCCCCCGCCCGAGACUGGGGUAAGCGCUGGAAACGCUGUCUCUUACACGGGAUGAGCGGCGCUCCUACGUUGAGCGGGUGGGAAGGUUUUUCGGUCUGGGAUGGGCUCACGGCCUAUCAGCUUGUUGGUGGGGUAAUGGCUCACCAAGGCCUCGACGGGUAGCCGGCCUGAGAGGGUGACCGGCCACACUGGGACUGAGACACGGCCCAGACUCCUACGGGAGGCAGCAGUGGGGAAUAUUGCACAAUGGGCGGAAGCCUGAUGCAGCAACGCCGCGUGAGGGAUGACGGCCUUCGGGUUGUAAACCGCUUUUGGCAGUGAAGAAGCGAAAGUGACGGUACCUGGAGAAGAAGCACCGGCUAACUACGUG
rnacentral:rRNA from 1 species